rfam:Oreochromis niloticus linkage group LG17, whole genome shotgun sequence.
CUCAGAUAUGGCGACAUGGUAGCAAAGACCAUAAUGGGGAAGAUCUUCAGCUCCAUCUGCUCUCUAAGUGGCAUGCUGGUCAUUGCCCUGCCGGUCCCUGUCAAAUUUAG